CGAUUUUUCCUUUCAUUUAAUAUGUGACAAUUCUCCUAAAUAGACAUGUUUAAGUUUAUGUCUCAAAAAUAGCCUCUCAAACUAAAAAUCAGAUUAAUAGCCUUCAUUAAUAGAUCAAAAGUCUAAACUACCCUUUCAUUAAUAAAUCUUAAAAAGUAGAAAAAGAAUCACUAAGGACUAGGACGACGAAAAGAUUCGACGUCUUCGACGUCUCCACCAUCAUCGCCUUCUUCUCUCGACGACGCCGGAGAUAAAUCACGGUGAAUUUACAGCCGUCGACACUCUUAUCAGUCGAAAAUCGAACUAAGCCAUGUAAGUAUUAAACAUUUCCAAUUCAAAAUUAAAAUUAGGGUUCUUAAUUGAAAAAUUGGAUGUUUCGCAGAUGGAUAUUUAAUAUUACCUUGUUUACUUUGAAUUUUCAAACAGAUAAACACAUAUCUCAAAGAGAUUAGUAACUAAGUAACUCUCAUCUCACUCGAAGAGUUUUUUUCCGUCUCUCCGCCAAGCCUAAGCUUCCAUUUCUCUCCAAGGUACUCGCUUUCUUCCCAGUCUCUCAAA
rnacentral:lncRNA from 1 species